UACGUAGGGGGCAAGCGUUGUCCGGAAUCAUUGGGCGUAAAGAGCGCGUAGGCGGUCCGGUAAGUCCGCUCUGAAAGUCCGGGGCUCAACCCCGGGAGGCGGGCGGAUACUGUCGGGCUAGAGUCCGGAAGAGGCGAGUGGAAUUCCUGGUGUAGCGGUGAAAUGCGCAGAUAUCAGGAGGAACACCGAUGGCGAAGGCAGCUCGCUGGGACGGUACUGACGCUGAGGCGCGAAAGCGUGGGGAGCAAAACGG
rnacentral:rRNA from 1 species